GGCCUCCUGGUGCUUACCACAGGCUGUGUUCCUGCACUGACUGUAUAGAAAGAGGAGGCAAAGUAAAGGUACCCCACGUACACCCCAGCCCAGGACCUGUGCCUGGUCUGUAUAUUGAAUGGGUGAACAUGG
rnacentral:snoRNA from 1 species